GUUGGUGAACCAGCGGAGGGAUCAUUAUAGAGUUGUAAAACUCCCUAAAACCCAUGUGAACAUACCUGUUGCCUCGGCGGGCCUACCCUAUAGCUACCCUGUAGUUACCGGGGAGUGACCGCCGAAGGACUACCAAACUCUUUUAUCUCUGUAUCUCUGAGUAAAAAAACAAAUAAGUUAAAACUUUCAACAACGGAUCUCUUGGUUCUG
rnacentral:misc_RNA from 1 species